GAUGAACGCUGGCGGCGUGCCUAAUACAUGCAAGUCGAGCGAACAGGCGAGGAGCUUGCUCCUCUGACGUUAGCGGCGGACGGGUGAGUAACACGUGGAUAACCUACCUAUAAGACUGGGAUAACUUCGGGAAACCGGAGCUAAUACCGGAUAAUAUAUUGAACCGCAUGGUUCAAUAGUGAAAGACGGUUUUGCUGUCACUUAUAGAUGGAUCCGCGCCGCAUUAGCUAGUUGGUAAGGUAACGGCUUACCAAGGCAACGAUGCGUAGCCGACCUGAGAGGGUGAUCGGCCUCACUGGAACUGAGACACGGUCCAGACUCCUACGGGAGGCAGCAGUAGGGAAUCUUCCGCAAUGGGCGAAAGCCUGACGGAGCAACGCCGCGUGAGUGAUGAAGGUCUUCGGAUCGUAAAACUCUGUUAUUAGGGAAGAACAAAUGUGUAAGUAACUAUGCACGUCUUGACGGUACCUAAUCAGAAAGCCACGGCUAACUACGUG
rnacentral:rRNA from 1 species